UACGUAGGGUGCAAGCGUUGUCCGGAAUUAUUGGGCGUAAAGAGCUCGUAGGCGGUCUGUCGCGUCGGCUGUGAAAUCCCGGAGCUCAACUCCGGGUCUGCAGUCGAUACGGGCAAAUCUGGAGUACUGCAGGGGAGACUGGAAUUCCUGGUGUAGCGGUGAAAUGCGCAGAUAUCAGGAGGAACACCGGUGGCGAAGGCGGGUCUCUGGGCAGUAACUGACGCUGAGGAGCGAAAGCGUGGGGAGCGAACAGG
rnacentral:rRNA from 1 species